GACGAACGCUGGCGGCGUGCUUAACACAUGCAAGUCGAACGAUGACGACCGAGCUUGCUCGGUCUGAUUAGUGGCGAACGGGUGAGUAACACGUGAGCAACCUGCCCUUCACUCUGGGAUAACCUCGGGAAAUCGGGGCUAAUACCGGAUAUGAGCUCCUGUCGCAUGGCGGGUGUUGGAAAGUUUUUCGGUGAAGGAUGGGCUCGCGGCCUAUCAGCUUGUUGGUGAGGUAGUGGCUCACCAAGGCGAUGACGGGUAGCCGGCCUGAGAGGGCGACCGGCCACACUGGGACUGAGACACGGCCCAGACUCCUACGGGAGGCAGCAGUGGGGAAUAUUGCACAAUGGGCGAAAGCCUGAUGCAGCGACGCCGCGUGAGGGAUGACGGCCUUCGGGUUGUAAACCUCUUUCAGCAGGGAAGAAGCGAAAGUGACGGUACCUGCAGAAGAAGCGCCGGCUAACUACGUG
rnacentral:rRNA from 1 species